UGUAAAUAUAACUGUGAGUCUACUGCUUUCUGUGUGGAUUCCAAUGGUUUAUGUCAGAGGAAGAACUUCAGCACUUUUCUAACCCUCAUGGUCUGGCUGCUCACAGCCCAGGAAGUCCCACCUCUGGACAACAAGAAGACAGAUUUGACAUUGAUCCGUGCCAAGAACCUGUGGAAACCAAGCAAUUAUUUCUUGAAAAGAUCCCACUUGCCCCCCUGAAGGUGGAGAAUCAAGGAGAUGUUACAUACAAGGAGACGAAAACUACAGACUACAGCCUAUCUAAACGUACAGCAAAACUGGAACAAGACAAAGUGAGCCAUCUACCAGAUACUACACCAAAAGAGGGAUGCCAAAAAGACAAGAAAGAUGAGCAGAAAAUGUUUAAUAGUAGAGGGCGAGAAGAGAAGAUCACCAAAGAGCCAGAUGUAUACACCUUCCCAGGAGACUCUGAGCCAGAAAGUCCACCACCUGGACCUUGGGCACACUGCACCUUCAUCCAACGCCGAAGAAAGAAGAGGGCCAUAUUGAGGCCUUUCUCUGGCUUAGACACUUGGCAGAGCACAAAGGGAGCCGGCAGGAAGACCAGAGGAAAACCCUCGGGAGCAAAGGAGCGUAAGAAAACCACAAAGGUUGGGGAAGGGAUGUUUGAAUUUAAAAAGGAAAAGGAAGAGAAGGUACGGGGAAGACAGAGGUCAGUAGUAGAGCACCAACUGGAUGGAGACCUCUCACAAGAGAUUUUUACAUGUGUAGAAUGUAGCAUUUACUUCAAAAAACGCACCCAUCUACUUGAACACAUGCAAGAGCAUGGCCAGGUUGGUAGAUCUGGGAAGAAAUGGCAAUGUGGAGAAAAAGACUCUAGGAGUGGACAUCUUAAUAAAAAUGCUUUUGAAUGUAUAGAGUGUGGUCUGGAGUUUGUAGACGAGGUACUCCUGCUAGAUCAUCAGCGAUGCCAUGAGGAGUCACGGCAGAAAAUCCUUGAAGAGAUUGGAAACUUAAAAGAGGGGGAUAAGCAGGUGGCAGAGCAAGCCAGUUGCAGUAAGGCAUCAGAG
rnacentral:lncRNA from 1 species